GUUCUUGAGCUACUGCUUGGGCUCACUCCCACACUGUGAAGUGUACUUUCACUUUCAAUAAAUCUCUGCUUUCCUUGCUUUGCAGUGCGUUUUGUUCAAUUCUUUGUUCAAAACCCCAAGAAUCUGGACAACUUGCACUCAAGACCCUCUACGGGUUUGGCGAGCCAGUCUUUCAGUGGCUGUUUUCUAGUAGCUCCUUGGCAAUUGAGGGGAACUGGCUGGGACCACUCUCCAGUGCUGUCUGAAGGCCAAGGAGUGAACAGGGAUGGCUGCCCUGCCUUGAAGAGGGAAGGACUCUUUUCUAUCCUUUCCAGCUAUAGUCCCUGAUCCCUACAUGUGAUGCGGUUGGCAGCGGAAGCUCAUCCUGGGCGAACUCACACACUUUUCAGGAGACUUAAACCUUUUCUUAUGCUAAGUUCUUCCCUUCCCCUACUCAUCUGGCUAAAGGACAGACUAUGCAAAAAAGGUUAUACAAGUCAGAGGGUCUGAGCAUGUCGGAGGUGGUCUGUGUGGGGCAUGGGGUGGGGGGAAAAUUCAUGAAAGGCAAUUUAUUGCCUAAAUUUAAAGGGUUAAAGGGUUGCUUUAAGUGGGAUAGAAAAACCUUAAGGAAAGUUCAUAGUAGGUCCUCAGUGGUGGAGUGUUGUGGGAAGUCAGGGACCCUGAAUGAAGGGACUGGCUGAAGCCAUGGCAGAAGAACAUAAACUGUGAAGAUUUCAUGGACAUUUAUUAGUUCCCCAAAUUAACACUUUUAUAAUUUCUUACGCCUGUCUUUACUGCAAUCUCUGAACAUAAAUUGUGAAGAUUUUAUGGACAUUUAUCACUUCCCCAAUCAAUACUCUUGUGAUUUCCUAUGCCUGUCUUUACUUUAAUCUCUUAAUCCCGUCAUCUUCGUAAGCUGAGGAGGAUGUAAGUCGCCUCAGGACCCUGUGAUGAUUGUGUUAACUGCACAAAUUGUUUGUAGAGCAUGUGUGUUUGAACAGUAUCAAAUCUGGGCACCUUAAGAACAGGAUAACAGCAACGUUCAAGGAACAAGGGAGAUAAUCUUAACGUCUGGCUGCCUAUGGGCCGGGCAGAACAGAGCCAUAUUUCUCUUCUUUCUAAAGCAAAUAGGAGAAAUAUCGCUGAAUUCUUUUUCUCAGCAAGGAACAGCCCUGAGACAGAGAAUGUGUGCCUAGGGGUAGUCCUCCAAAAUGGCCACUCUGGGGACGGCUGUCUUUUAUGGUCGUAGAUAAGGGAAGAAAUAAGCCCCGGACUCCCAUAGUGCUCCCAGGCUUAUUAGGACGAGGAAAUUCCCACCUAAUAAAUUUUGGUCAGACUGGUUGUCUGCUCUCAAACCCUGUCUCCUGAUAAGAUGUUAUCAAUGACAAUGCGUGCCCGAAACUUCACUCGCAAUUUUAAUUUCGCCCUGGUCAUGUGGUCCCGUGAUCUCACCCUGCCUCCAUUUGCCUUGUGAUAUUUUAUUACCUUGUGAAGCAUGUGAUCUCUGUGACCCACACCCUAUUCAUACACUCCCUCCCCUUUUGGAAAUCACUAAUAAAAACUUGCUGGUUUUACGGCUUAGGGGGCAUCACAGAACCUGCCGACAUAUGAUGUCUCCCCUGGACACCCAGCUUUAAAAUUUCUCUCUUUGUACUCUUUCCCUUUAUUUCUCAGACCAGCCAACACUUAGGGAAAAUAGAAAAGGACCCACGUGAAAUAUCAGGGGCUGAAUUUCCCCCGAUAGUGGAGGGAACCAUCCCAAAGCAGUGCCAGCCCCCAUCUAAGG
rnacentral:lncRNA from 1 species